AACAAGGCGUACCUGCGGACCUGCGGAGGGAUCAUUACAGAGUUCGUGCCCUCGCGGGUAGAUCUCCCACCCUUGUGUAUUUUCUACAUCUUGUUGCUUUGGCAGGCCGUUGGUUCGCCAACCACCGGCUCGCGGGCUGGUGCGUGCCUGCCAGAGGACCUCUCAAACUCGGUUUGUUAGUGUCGUCUGAGUACCAUAACAAUCGUUAAAACUUUUAACAACGGAUCUCAGAUCGGAAGA
rnacentral:misc_RNA from 1 species